rnacentral:hammerhead_ribozyme from 1 species
AUCCAGCUGACGAGUCCCAAAUAGAACAAAACUAGUGUCCUGGCU